UACCGCGUGUGUGAAGAAGGCCUGAGGGUUGUAAAGCACUUUCAAUUGUGAAGAAAAGUUAACGGUUAAUAACCGUUAGCCUUGACGUUAACUUUAGAAGAAGCACCGGCUAACUCCGUGCCAGCAGCCGCGGUAAU
rnacentral:rRNA from 1 species